ACGUCUACAUUAGACUACCCGCGUAGUCCCAGCCGUAAACUAUGCGCGUUAGGUGUAUCGGUGACCACGAGUUACCGAGGUGCCGAAGGGAAACCGUGAAACGUGCCGCCUGGGAAGUACGGUCGCAAGGCUGAAACUUAAAGGAAUUGGCGGGGAGCACCACAACGGGUGGAGCCUGCGGUUUAAUUGGACUCAACGCCGGGAAGCUCACCGGAUAAGACAGCGGAAUGAUUGCCGGGCUGAAGACUCUGCAUGACUAGCUG
rnacentral:rRNA from 1 species